rnacentral:rRNA from 1 species
AUGGCUCGUCGUUGUCCCAUCUGCUACACGUGCAGCUCCGCCGUAGAUGCGGAAGGAGGCCAAGCAGCCAGUCCUCGUGCAGCUCUGCCGCUUGGUGCCGCCGGCUACGCGGUGCUGCCGAGUGAUUUUUUUGGUCACGGCCGUUCAGCGGAGUUCUCAGUGCAAGCUUUCUUUCUUAUGCAUGCUGAUGGAAAAGUGCAGGAUGAAAGUGAGCGAACUUACAGGAGGAGCAGUAAUCAAAUCCUACUAUGUUCGCUGGCAAUUCCAGCCUAUAAGUCCCACUGGCUACGCAGAGAAAUUGACAGACAAAUCGAAGGACCAGACUUGCGCCGACGAUACCGUGUCAAACGCACACCGUACCGACGCUCCAAUCUAGACCUUAUCGACCUCCCGGAAGCCGCUGCGGCCGCGGCGGCGGCGCGCGUCCGCGCGGGCGCCGGCGCCAACGGUCUCCCUGCCGAGCAGCCGCUCCAGCUCCCGCGUGAUCCACUCCACCUCGUGCACGUACAGCAGCGUCGUCGGCUGCGCCGUCUUCGCCGCUGCCUUCUCCAUCUCCAUGGCGAGGCGAGUCAGCGAGAUGAGAUUGACAGAUUGUGGCUUGUGAGAGGAGGAAGUCAAGUCGGUGGAGGAGAGGAGGCGAGGAUGGCAUGCCUGCCGGUUGCUUAA